AUCUCGAACUCCAGCUUCUUCCAUUAACGCCAAAUCAAAACCGUAAUCAAGAAAACCAACAACACAAAGUUAAAGAACCAUCUCAUCAUCGUAAUCAUCAUGAUACUACAAACUUAAACCUCUCCAUUGCACCAACUGCACCAUCAUUAUCUCAUCAGUACAACAACUUUGAUCGUAUAAAAGAAAUAAUGGCGAGUGAACAGAUAAUGAAGUUAGCGAUGAAGGAGAAAGCUUACGCAGAGGAAGCUAAAAGAGAAGCGAAGAGGCAACGAGAGAUAGCGGAAAACGAAUUUGUUAAUGCUAAGAAGAUAAGGCAACAAGCACAAGCUGAGCUUGAGAGAGCUAAGCUUUUAAAGGAACAAUCUAUGAAGAAGAUAAGCUCGACGAUUAUGCAAGUUACUUGUCAAACAUGUAGUGCUUUAAUAAUAAUGGAACGCAAAGCUGUAUUAGUGAUGUAUAAUCACACUAUUUUUUUUUCCUGAACGACAUAAUCACACUAUUUACAGGACUUGAGAGUGUGACACUCGGAAAAUAAAUCACACUAUAUAAAUAUGUUAACCUGUUAUUUAAUCAUGUCUUACGUCAUCUAUGAGUGAGCGCCGCGCCACAUGAAUGUUUGCAAAUAACCUGCAUUAUAAUUUGAUAAUCCUAGAUUUGAAUUGGAUCGGAACGGAAAUCCGCUUAAUUACUGAUCAGUCAACUAGUAGUCUAUUAAUGGAGAUAUAAUUUCCACACAAUGAUCUAGUUCAUUAAUGAAAAUUAUAUAGUAUUAUCUUAAUUGUUUCUUCGACAAGUCAGGUAAAACUCGUGCAGAUAAUAACAAAAAUAUAAAAAUCUUAAAUUAUUCAUCUCAAAUAGGUUAUGAAGGUUCAAGAAUAUCAGACAAAUUCAUCAAUCAGACAAGAUAUGGGUCCAAUACAAAAACAAUAUAUCCAACAUACUCUAAGAAACAAAAUCUAAAAUGUAAAUAUAAAAUAACAAAAAGAAAAAUCUAAAUGUAUACCUAAAUAAACACAUCCCCCUCUCCUUCUCUCUCUCCAUGAGUGUAUGUAUGUAUAGAUUGUAUGUAGUGAUGGAACAGUGCAAUGAGCUUUAUAAGCAGAGGCAAUAUCGGCAUCAAAAGACCCUCUAACUUGAUCUAAACUCUCUAGUGUACGAGAGAGAAAGGUUAAUGAUACCAAACAGCAAAGAUAGAGCUAGAGAGAGAGAAAGAGAGAGACCCAAGAAAAAGCUUUCAUCAUUUAACAUAAGAGAACUUUGAAGAGUCUAAGUAAAAGUUUUUAAAGCUUUGUUGCAGAAAGCUUAAUUAAAAGAACUUUUCUCCCCCUAUAUCCUCCCUCUCUCUCACUCUCUUUAUUAGUCCUUCCUCUCCUUUGUAAAGCUGCACCUCCCACUAUCUUCAAAUUUUCUUCUUCUUUUUCUUUUUUGUCUCUAGGUCUUGUUUCAUCAAAUCAAUCUCUAGAAAUUCAAAUUACAAUAAAGUCAAAAAGAGAGAAGAAAAAGUUGUAAAUGAUGAGAACAGAUCAAGACACAGUAGUGAUAUUGGAUGCUGCUUCCAACAAGAACACUAGUAACACAUGUUGUGUGGUUUCCUCUUCUUCCUCUGAUCCUUUCCUCUCUUCUUCUGAAAAUGGGGUCGCUACCACAAACACAUCCAAUCAGAAGAGGAAAAGAAGACCUGCAGGUACACCAGGUAAUACCGUAAUAAUAAAGGGAUCACCACUACCGAAAAUUUUAAUUCUAAAGUUUCAGUUUUUUUUUUUGGUUUUUGUUUUAUUUCCUUAUUAUACCAAUUUGACGUCAUGAGUCUUCUUGAGUUUUCCUGCUUUUCUCUAAACCCCAUUAAACACACACACACACACACACCUUGUUUUUAAUGUUUUAAUCAUAGACAUAUUCCUUUGAUAGGAUAGAUUUUAAAGUUUCAAAUAUUCCCCUUGUUCAUAUUCCCAUUUUCAAGGUUAUGGGUAUAACUUGGGUUCCUGGUUCUCUUAAAACCCAUUUUAUGAUUGAUCAUAAACAGGUCAAUUAAUGGUUUUAUUUUUUAAAUAAUCAAUUUCUUUUCAAGUUUAGAGUGGGGGGUACUAUACCAUUGUUUUCUCUUGAACCUCAUUACAAAUCUCAACUUUUAAAAAUUAAAGUUAAAAAAAGAUCUUUAACUUUAUUGAUGUCACUCAAACAAAAUACAUGUGUUUUGAUGGGUUUUGCUUCUUCUCUUCAGAUCCAGAUGCAGAAGUUGUGUCUUUAUCACCAAGAACUCUUCUUGAAUCAGACAGAUACAUAUGUGAGAUCUGUAACCAAGGGUUUCAAAGAGAUCAAAAUCUCCAGAUGCAUCGAAGACGUCACAAGGUUCCAUGGAAGCUUCUGAAAAGAGACAACAAUAUAGAGGUGAAGAAACGAGUGUAUGUUUGCCCUGAACCCACUUGUCUUCACCACGAUCCUUGUCAUGCUCUUGGAGAUCUUGUCGGAAUAAAAAAACAUUUCAGAAGAAAACACAGUAACCAUAAGCAAUGGGUUUGUGAGAGAUGCUCUAAAGGUUAUGCUGUUCAAUCAGAUUACAAAGCUCAUCUCAAAACUUGUGGCACUAGGGGACAUUCUUGUGACUGUGGUCGCGUCUUCUCCAGGUUUAAUUUCUUGUUCUUCUCCCAAUAAUUCGAUUUUUAAUCAGAAUUUCUCUUUGAACGAAAAAAAGAUCAUAAUUUUUCCAAAUUAUUUUUGGAAAUUUGGAACAAUUAAUCAAUUAUUAGUAAACACUGGACGGAUAUGAUUUUUUUUUUUUUAACACACGGAUAUGAUAGGUUCAAAAUUAGUUAGGAUACAAGUAAUUUUGCUCUGUUUGUUUUGUAUCUUUAGGAUAUCACAGAUAGUUACAAAGGAACUAUAGGUAUAAAUAAAAAAUUGUUCUAGUCACCCAAAACCAUAGUUGAUACUUUUAGUACUAUCUGAUUUGACUAUCCCUCAUGAUUCUUACUAAUUAUGUGUAUUGAUGUGUAUGCAUAUUUCUCUUGACUAUUGUGUUUGGCUUUGGGACAUAAAAGCGAACUUAAUAAGUAGAUUAAUGACAUUGACCCCCAAUCUAUAAAUACAUUACAUAUUUUAGGCUAUUUAGUGGACCUUAACUCAUGUUAAUAUAGUAUAAAUUAUAUAAGUCGUAAGUUAUUAAUUUCAUAAGAUUAAACUAAGAAGCUUAAUAUUUAAUUAUAACUUUACCAUUAUAAUAAUUACUUUGACACUUCAUAACGCUAUAUCAUAUAGAAUAAUUUAAUUGGUAGGUUUUUUUUCCUUUUAGGGUGGAGAGUUUUAUUGAGCAUCAAGAUAGCUGCUCCAUUCGAAAAGUUCACCAUGAACCGCCGCCACCGCCACAAGCUACGGUGAAUGUCCCGGCUUGCUCCUCUAGAACUGCCUCAACCGCAAGCACUCCAUCUACGGAAACGAAUUACGCUGGUGCGGUUGCUACUCCUUUACCUCUAGAAGGGCGUCCAAUUCCUAUAAGAAACUCAUCAAACGAUGUCAAUCUCGAACUCCAGCUUCUUCCAUUAACGCCAAAUCAAAACCGUAAUCAAGAAAACCAACAACACAAAGUUAAAGAACCAUCUCAUCAUCGUAAUCAUCAUGAUACUACAAACUUAAACCUCUCCAUUGCACCAACUGCACCAUCAUUAUCUCAUCAGUACAACAACUUUGAUCGUAUAAAAGAAAUAAUGGCGAGUGAACAGAUAAUGAAGUUAGCGAUGAAGGAGAAAGCUUACGCAGAGG
rnacentral:lncRNA from 1 species